rnacentral:misc_RNA from 1 species
CUUGAGAGUGCGAGCUUUGCUCUCCAUGAUAACUUGGAACUGUUUCUGGUGACAUCUGAGCAUAGACUUCCACAUUCUUAUCAAUCCAUGAAUCAAUUCAGUGAUUAAAGGCUGCAAUUCUUCAUCCCUCAACUUGUGUAUCUUGCUAGAUAUGGCAUCAACAGUUCUGAUAGUAACAUUGAUUUUUGUCAGCAACUUCCUUAACGAAGCCUGGGCAGCAUCAAUUUUACUAGACUCAGCUCCAUGUUCAUCUAAACUUUUUAAUCUUUUGUACUGUUUUUCAUAGUGAAUUCGUAGCCUUUCUUCAUCCU